rnacentral:tRNA from 1 species
UCCCCGAUAGCUCAGUUGGUAAAGAAUCUGCCUACAAUGCAGGAGUCCCUGGUUCAAUUCCUGGGUCGGGAA